rnacentral:lncRNA from 1 species
GCAAGAGGCUGGCGCGUGCGCAGAGCGGCGGGGCGGCAGCGCGCGCGGGGGAUGGCGCAUGCGCACGGCCGACUGGGGGGGGGUGUUCUGAGGAGGCUUAGGCGGAGGGGCCGUGGGGCUGGCGGUCGGCGCCGGUUCGGGGCUGCGAGGGUGCCGCUGAGGGGACCUGGGGGAAGAUGGGCCGAAAGCAUCAGGUGGGCGCCUCCAGCCGCUCACGUCGGACAAACUCACAGCUUUGGCAGCCAGUCGUGCAGCGUGCUUGCAGAAAGCGGGCCUUGGCUUUGAGCUGGUGUGAGGUGAAAAAAACGUCACCAGUAGUUAAAAGAGCUGAGCUGAAUCGCUGUUCAUCUGGUAACUGGAAGCACUGGCUUGUGAGUACCAGCAACAGCUUUCAAGAUUGUCUUCCGGGAAUAGCGGCACUAGCCUCAACAUUUACUUAG